rnacentral:RNase_P_RNA from 1 species
CGAGCCGGCCGGGCGGCCGCGUGACGCCUUCGGGCGUCCCGAGGAACGUCCGGGCUCCAUAGAGCAGGGUGGUGGGUAACGCCCACCCGGGGUGACCCGCGGGACAGUGCCACAGAGAACAGACCGCCCGUCCUCGGACGGGUAAGGGUGAAACGGUGGUGUAAGAGACCACCAGCGUGCCGGGUGACCGGUGCGGCUCGGUAAACCCCACCCGGAGCAAGACCAGACAGGAUGUGUUCGAGGGUUGCUCGCCCGAGCAUCCGGGUAGGUCGCUCGAGCCGUGCGGUGACGCACGGCCUAGAUGGAUGGCCGUCACCUGCACGAGGGCGACCUCGGCAGGCACAGAACCCGGCGUACAGGCCGGCUCGUCUG